GUGAAAUGUCUGGGUCCAGGCCACUGUUUUACAAUGGUGUUUUCCUGUGAAAUGUCUUGGUCCAGGCCACUGUUUUAGAAUGGUGUUUUCCUGUGAAAUGUCUUGGUCCAGGCCACUGUUUAGAAUGGUGUUUUCCUGUGAAAUGUCUUGGUCCAGGCCACUGUUUAGAAUGGGGGUUUCCUGUGAAAUGUCUUGGUCCAGGCCACUGUUUAGAAUGGUGUUUUCCUGUGAAAUGUCUGGGUCCAGGCCACUGUUUAGAAUGGUGUUUUCCUGUGAAAUGUCUGGGUCCAGGCCACUGUUUAGAAUGGUGUUUUCCUGUGAAAUGUCUGGGUCCAGGCCACUGUUUACAAUGGUGUUUUCCUGUGAAAUGUC
rnacentral:lncRNA from 1 species